rnacentral:rRNA from 1 species
GCUCUUCAACGAGGAAUCCCUAGUAAGCACAAGUCAUCAGCUUGUGCUGAUUACGUCCCUGCCCUUUGUACACACCGCCCGUCGCUACUACCGAUUGAAUGGCUUAGUGAGGCCUUUCGGAUCGUUAGUUAAAAAACUGUAAAAGGUUUUUUUUUCUGAUGAAAAAGUUGGGUCAAACCUGGGUCCAUUUAAAAGGAAAUUAAAAGUCGAAACAAGGGUUUCCGGUAGGGGGAACCCGGCGGAAGGGGUAAUUACAAAUCAGGGCGAAACCUCCCCGUUUUCCCGAAGGUCUUUGGGUCCCUUUUUCGUAUUUUAAAACCUCCCCCCUCCAAAAAAAAUAUUUUUCUAAUGAAAAAAAAAAAA